AAGCCUUUGUUUUCCUUCAUUUUCACGAAAAAGUCUUUCGCCUUUUACUAAAGAUUUCCGUGGAGGAGAACAAAACAAUGGGCCUAAGGAUAUUUUUUUCGCCUGUCGGAUUUUCUAGGCGG
rnacentral:snRNA from 1 species